rnacentral:rRNA from 1 species
UAGGAACGAAGCUAGCGUUAUCCGUAGUCAUUGUCUUGAAAGGAUCCGUAUCCUGUUUAAUAAUGCAAUGCGGAAAUCUGUCCGCUCAACGAUCAAACUGCCAUUGAUACUGGUAGACUUGAAUAAGUGUAAAGAAACUAGAAUAUGUAGCGUAGCGGUGAAAUGUUUAGAUAUUAUUUGCAAUACCAAUUGCGAAGGCAGGUUACUAAUAAUUUAUUGACGCUGAUGGCCGAAAGCGUGGGGAGCGAACAGGAUUAGAUACCCUGGUAGUCCACGCCGUAAACGAUGGAUACUAGCUGUUCGGCGCAAGUUGAGUGAUUAAGCGCAAGUGAUAAGUAUCCCACCUGGGGAGUACACACGCAAGUGUGAAACUCAAAGGAAUUGACGGGGGCCCGCACAAGCGGUGGAGCAUGUGGUUUAACUCGAUGAUACGCGAGGAACCUUCCCAGGGCUUAAAUGGGAGUGGACAGCUUAGGAAACUAGGCCUUCUUCGGACCACUUUCAAGGUGCUGCAUGGUUGUCGUCAGCUCGUGCCGUGAGGUGUCAGGUUAAGUCCUAUAACGAGCGCAACCCCUGUCGUUAGUUGCCAGCGAGUGAUGUCGGGAACUCUAACGAGACCGCCGGUGUAAACCGUGCGGAAGGCGGGGAUGACGUCAAAUCAUCACGGCCCUUACGUCCUGGGCCACACACGUGCUACAAUGGCCAGUACAGAGAGCAGCCACUUACCGAUAAGGAGCGAAUCUUCAAAACUGGUCUCAGUUCGGAUUGGAGUCUGCAACUCGCCUCCAUGAAGCUGGAAUCGCUAGUAAUCGGAUAUCAGCCAUGAUCCGGUGAAUACGUUCCCGGGCCU